CCUACGGGUGGCAGCAGUCGAGAAUUUUUCUCAAUGGGGGAAACCCUGAAGGAGCGACGCCGCGUGGAGGAUGAAGGUCUUCGGAUUGUAAACUCCUGUCAUUGGUGAACAAGACUCUCUGGAGUAACUGCCAGGGAGGUUGAUAGUAGCCGAAGAGGAAGAGACGGCUAACUCUGUGCCAGCAGCCGCGGUAAUACAGAGGUCUCAAGCGUUGUUCGGAUUCAUUGGGCGUAAAGGGUGCGUAGGUGGCGAGGUAAGUCUGGUGUGAAAUCCCGGGGCUCAACCCUGGAACUGCACUGGAUACUGCCCUGCUAGAGUACUGGAGAGGAGACUGGAAUUUACGGUGUAGCAGUGAAAUGCGUAGAUAUCGUAAGGAAGACCAGUGGCGAAGGCGAGUCUCUGGACAGUUACUGACACUGAGGCACGAAGGCCAGGGGAGC
rnacentral:rRNA from 1 species